UUCUAUGGUGACAUCAUGAGGAUUAUGCCAUUCUUAAGACAAUGGAGAAGAAGAAAGUACUUUUUUGCAAGGGCAAAAGAGAAAUGGGAAAAGGGAAUCGACGGUUUUUUCCAAUAGGGCGACAUCUAGGGCUUGAAGACGACGGUUGCGUAAUGGGACCAAGUUGGAAGAGGAAGAGAGGAUAACUUAAGGGAAUAGUUUAGUAAAGUAGAGGCAAAAUAGGUAUUUUAAUUAGAUUUUAACUAUGGUAGACAUUUAACCCUUGUUUAACCCGAGAUAACUAACAAGGGGUAACUGCGGAGGUGUUUUGGAAUAAUGGUGGAACAUACGAGGGGUAUAUUAGAAAGAAAAAAAAUAGGGGUAAAUCGGAUAUUUCCGAAGUUAUGAAGGGUAUAUAGGCAAUUAUCCCUAUCAAAUACAAGAUAACCUACAACUAAACACAUAUAAGGCAACCCACAAUUGAACAAAACAAGUACCACCAUUUUACAAUUCCUCUAUGUUCAUUUCAUUCAAGUAUAUGAUCAUCAAUGGAUGGUGUUAGUACGUACUUUCCUAUAUAGCAGUUCU
rnacentral:lncRNA from 1 species